rnacentral:rRNA from 1 species
UACGAAGGGGGCGAGCGUUGUUCGGAUUUACUGGGCGUAAAGGGCGCGCAGGCGGCCAUUCAAGUCAGGCGUGAAAGCCCCGGGCUUAACCUGGGAACUGCAUUUGUGACUGGCGGGCUGGAGUGUGGCAGGAGGGGGGUGGAAUUCCGACGUGUAGCAGUGAAAUGCGUAGAGAUGUGGAGGAACACCGAUGGCGAAGGCAGCCCCCUGGGCCAACACUGACGCUCAGGCACGAAAGCGUGGGGAGCAAACAGG